UCCGUACUAGCUGCUCAACAUAGGUGAGAUCCUCUACGGUCUCCACCUCUGGUUCCUUUAAGAACCUCACUCGGACCCGACACGAACUCAUAUAUCGUGGAAACAUGGAAAAACGAAUGGAUCUCUUCCAUUGAAGUGGGUAAACCUAACUCGUGGGAUACAUUCCCAAAUCCUUUGCAGGAUUUCAAAGGGUCCAAUGUAUUUGAGAGUAAAUUUACCUUUUUGCCCGUAACGAAUCACCCUCUCUUUAGCAGACACCUCCAGCAAACCUCGACUUCCUCGAGAACCUCAACACGCUUCCGCUGCGCACUCUGACAAAACUCUUCUCUC
rnacentral:lncRNA from 1 species